GUGCUCACUCUUCUUCAGCAACACAUAUACUAAAAUUGGAACAAUGCAGGGAAGAUUAGCAUGGCCCCUCCCCAAGGAUGACACACACAUCAGUGGGAAAAUUCUCUAUAAAUUU
ensembl:snRNA U6 U6 spliceosomal RNA